CGCGCGGGGGGCGGCAGAGCCCGAAGCAUCGGCCGCGGUGCCGCGGGGAGCCCGGCCGGGCCGUUCGGGCAUCAUCGGGAGGCGAACGGAUCCUGCGGGGGAGCUCCUCCGGGGCAGCGCCUGCGGGAGCGGAGGGCGGAGGAGCGCCGCGGCCGUCGGAGCUGCCCGGCGGGGCUGCGGGCUGCUACCUGCUGACACAAAGUGAGGGUGGAGCGGAGCCGAGCGCCCGCCCCGCCCCGCCCGGCCCGGCCCCGCUCCCGGGCGCCCCCUCCCGCCGCUCCGCGGGGUCCGGGCUGAGCGCCGCUCCGCACCGCCGCGGUUCCCCCGGGCCCUCCGUCGGCUCUGCCCUUCGGCCGCGGCCCUCCGCUCGCUGCCGUCCGGGAGCCCUCGUCCAGCUGCCGCUGCUGCGGAGGGUUCGGGUCGGGCUGAUGUCAGAGGUCUGGAAUUCAGCUGUUAUUCGGCUCUGACAUCGCUGAGAGAUUGCUGCAGCCACGCUGUUUGAGCAGGACUAUAGAAGAGCAUCCUCGCAUUAACUUACAGUGCCAAGUCUUCUGGGGGCAAACAGGAGUCAGAAAGAUGAAACAGCGUUUUCUAUAGAUUUCUUCACAGUCCCAGUUCCUGAAGUGAGGCAGCCUACCUCUUCCGUCUCUGACCUUAGGAGUGGACAUUUAACACUAGUAUCCACCUGAAACAAAACACAGCAAAAAAAGCAAAGAUGACUCAAUGUUUUCUUUCAAUCACGUCAGCAGAACAAAUAAAUACUUAUCUCCACUCCAAAAGGACAUCUACCAAGUGCUGAACAGUACCUGUAUGGAUUGUAUAAGCAUUUUUAGCUCAGAGUUAAGGUUGCCAGGUCCAAAGCCAAGCUUUUACAUAAUGUCAUAUUAAGCAAAACAUGAAGUCAGAAAGCCAAAACAUAAAGAGUACACGUACUCACAGUGUCAGCU
rnacentral:lncRNA from 1 species